rnacentral:lncRNA from 1 species
CAACCCGGAACAGAUUUCAGCCAGGCAGCUAGCAAAGCUCGCGGGUGAACUGCACAGGCCAUGGUGGGUGCAGAGCUCAGAGCCGGAAAGCAAACAGCUGCUGUAGCCUGAUUUGAGUUAAAAUAGUGACAUCCAUAAAAAUUCAUCAGAGAGCAUUUUACUACUGAGCUGCAAAGGGAAAAACUUAAAAUGGAUAUGAAAAGUGAAGAAAGUGAUCAUAGGAGAAAACCAUUUCAGGUGUCUGAUGAUUUGUGAGCCUCAAGUGACUACUCUGUGGAAUCAUCUGUCCUUGCCUUUGAAUUAGCUUUCCCUAGGCCAUGAGUCAACAUUAGUAGUUUAUACAUCCAAAUUGAUGACAAGAGCACCUCAAAGGCAGCAGCCUCAAGGAGCAGCCAUGGCCCCAGACUUGUCGCACGGAUGCAGAAAACUUAAUGGAGGAGGCUGAGCAAAACAGAGCGUGACACUCCCAAUCAUCUGCAUGCUGGAAAUGAGGAAAUGGUUAUUGAAUGAUACAAGUGCUUUUCGAUCAUUUAGAAAGUUCUGUUUCCCAAGAUCUUUUUUUUUUUUUUUUUUUUUGAGACGGUGUCUUGCUCUGUCACCCAGGCUGGAGUGCAGUGGCGCGAUCUCGGCUCACCACAACCUCCACCUCCUGGGUUCAAGCGAUUCUCCUGCCUCAGCCUCCCGCGUGGCUGAGACUACAGGCAUGUGCCACCAUGCCCGGCUAAUUUUUGUAUUUUUAGUAGAGACAGGGUUUCACUAUGUUGGCGGGCGGAUCACCCAAGAAUGGGAUAACUGCCUGGCACUCACCAAGCUACACUUGAAGAGGAUCAAUCCAUGUCAUCAUGUCCCCAAUUUCAUAGCACCAAGUAUUUUGUUUAUUCACAAAUGCCCUAUUAUGGACAUCUAGCAAACAAUGAUACAUCAGAAAAGGAGAUGUGCAUAAAUUUUCAUGGAAUAAGGUUGUGGAAAAUGCACUAGAAUCAACAAACAUGGGGACUAAUUCAACUCGGAUAUCAUGUCUUCAGAGAAGUUUCUCCUGCCCUCCUCUCCCUGUAGAAUUAAGUAUUCUUCCACUGUGCCACCCUCUAACUUGUGCUCAUAUCUUCCUCUAUUGUAGUUAUGUGUUCACAUCCCUGUUGUUUUUGUACCGGCUUCUCCCAAAGGGAGACAUUUAGUCUUAUUCUUCUUGGUAACUUUAGCACAGACCUGGCAGAUUGUUGACACUCAACAAAUGUUUAUUGACUCAAAUGCAUUCAGUUGAACAUUGACCUUUGAUCAACUCUGGGAAAAGUCUGCAAAGCUAGUUAGGACAUUCAGAAAUUCAUUUCAUUUCAAUCCUAACUAAAUAAAUUAUUGAAGUCUCA